UACGUAGGGUGCAAGCGUUGUUCGGAAUUACUGGGCGUAAAGCGCACGUAGGCGGACAUUUAAGUCAGGGGUGAAAUCCCGGGGCUCAACCUCGGAACUGCCUUUGAUACUGGGUGUCUUGAGUAUGGAAGAGGUAAGUGGAAUUGCGAGUGUAGAGGUGAAAUUCGUAGAUAUUCGCAGGAACACCAGUGGCGAAGGCGGCUUACUGGUCCAUUACUGACGCUGAGGUGCGAAAGCGUGGGGAGCAAACAGG
rnacentral:rRNA from 1 species